rnacentral:rRNA from 1 species
AGUGAACGCUGGCGGUAGGCCUAACACAUGCAAGUCGAACGGCAGCACAGUAAGAGCUUGCUCUUACGGGUGGCGAGUGGCGGACGGGUGAGGAAUACAUCGGAAUCUACUUUUUCGUGGGGGAUAACGUAGGGAAACUUACGCUAAUACCGCAUACGACCUACGGGUGAAAGCAGGGGAUCUUCGGACCUUGCGCGAUUGAAUGAGCCGAUGUCGGAUUAGCUAGUUGGCGGGGUAAGGGCCCACCAAGGCGACGAUCCGUAGCUGGUCUGAGAGGAUGAUCAGCCACACUGGAACGGAGACACGGUCCAGACUCCUACGGGAGGCAGCGGUGUGGAAUAUUGGACAAUGGGCGCAAGCCUGAUCCAGCCAUACCGCGUGGGUGAAGAAGGCCUUCGGGUUGUAAAGCCCUUUUGUUGGGAAAGAAAAGCAGCAGGUUAAUACCCCGCUGUUCUGACGGUACCCAAAGAAUAAGCACCGGCUAACUUCGUG